GACCAUAAGCAGACACCGCAGGCAGCUGUGCCAGUGUCUCCCCGCACUGGCCAGGCUCUCCUCCAGAGGGUGGGUGGGCAGGCAGGCUGAGGCUCUGGGGUAAGAGACUGCUCUGGGCCCAGGGAGGUGGUGCAGAUCGACCAGUUCCUGAAGGAGACGGCGGCGCGGGAGGCCAGCGCCAAGCUGCGGCUGCAGCAGUUCAUUGAGGAGCUCCUUGAGCGGGCUGACCGUGCCGAGCGGCAGCUGCAGGUCAUCAGCAGCAGCUGUGGCAGCACGCCCAGCGCCAGCCUGGGCCGUGGAGGUGGGGGCGGUGGUGCUGGACCCAAUGCCCGGGGCCCAGGCAGAAUGCGAGAACACCACGUGGGCCCGGCCGUGCCUAACACAUAUGCAGUGUCACGGCAUGGCUCCUCUCCGAGCACAGGGGCCUCCAGCCGUGUGCCAGCCGCAUCCCAGAGCUCAGGCUGCUAUGACAGUGACAGUCUGGAGCUGCCCAGGCCAGAGGAGGGGGCCCCUGAGGACAGUGGCCCUGGGGGCUUGGGCACACGGGCCCAGGCUGCCAACGGGGGCUCAGAGCGGUCCC
rnacentral:lncRNA from 1 species